AAUACCGCAUACGUCCUACGGGAGAAAGGGGGCUCCGGCUCCCGCUAUUGGAUGAGCCUAUGUCGGAUUAGCUAGUUGGUGAGGUAAUGGCUCACCAAGGCAACGAUCCGUAGCUGGUCUGAGAGGAUGAUCAGCCACAUCGGGACUGAGACACGGCCCGAACUCCUACGGGAGGCAGCAGUGGGGAAUAUUGGACAAUGGGCGAAAGCCUGAUCCAGCCAUGCCGCGUGUGUGAAGAAGGCCCUCGGGUUGUAAAGCACUUUCAGCGAGGAAGAACGCCUAGUGGUUAAUACCCAUUAGGAAAGACAUCAAUCGCAGAAGAAGCACCGGCUAACUCCGUGCCAGCAGCCGCGGUAAUACGGAGGGUGCAAGCGUUAAUCGGAAUUACUGGGCGUAAAGCGCGCGUAGGUGGCUUGAUAAGCCGGUUGUGAAAGCCCCGGGCUCAACCUGGGAACGGCAUCCGGAACUGUCAAGCUAGAGUGCAGGAGAGGAAGGUAGAAUUCCCGGUGUAGCGGUGAAAUGCGUAGAGAUCGGGAGGAAUACCAGUGGCGAAGGCGGCCUUCUGGACUGACACUGACACUGAGGUGCGAAAGCGUGGGUAGCAAACAGGAUUAGAUACCCUGGUAGUCCACGCCGUAAACGAUGUCGACCAGCCGUUGGGUGCCUAGCGCACUUUGUGGCGAAGUUAACGCGAUAAGUCGACCGCCUGGGGAGUACGGCCGCAAGGUUAAAACUCAAAUGAAUUGACGGGGGCCCGCACAAGCGGUGGAGCAUGUGGUUUAAUUCGAUGCAACGCGAAGAACCUUACCUACUCUUGACAUCCUGCGAACUUGUGAGAGAUCACUUGGUGCCUUCGGGAACGCAGAGACAGGUGCUGCAUGGCUGUCGUCAGCUCGUGUUGUGAAAUGUUGGGUUAAGUCCCGUAACGAGCGCAACCCUUGUCCUUAUUUGCCAGCGGGUAAUGCCGGGAACUCUAAGGAGACUGCCGGUGACAAACCGGAGGAAGGUGGGGACGACGUCAAGUCAUCAUGGCCCUUACGAGUAGGGCUACACACGUGCUACAAUGGCCGGUACAAAGGGUUGCGAGCUCGCGAGAGUCAGCUAAUCCCGAAAAGCCGGUCUCAGUCCGGAUCGGAGUCUGCAACUCGACUCCGUGAAGUCGGAAUCGCUAGUAAUCGUGAAUCAGAAUGUCACGGUGAAUACGUUCCCGGGCCUUGUACACACCGCCCGUCAC
rnacentral:rRNA from 1 species